UGCAGUCGAGCGGUAGAGAGGUGCUUGCACCUCUUGAGAGCGGCGGACGGGUGAGUAAAGCCUAGGAAUCUGUCCUGGGUAGGUGGUGGGAUAACGCUCGGAAACGGACGCUAAUACCGCACACGUCCUACGGGAGAAAGCAGGGGACCUUCGGGCCUUGCGCUAUCAGAUGAGCCUAGGUCGGAUUAGCUAGUUGGUGAGGUAAUGGCUCACCAAGGCGACGAUCCGUAACUGGUCUGAGAGGAUGAUCAGUCACACUGGAACUG
rnacentral:rRNA from 1 species